GCGGGGUGGAGCAGCCUGGUAGCUCGUCGGGCUCAUAACCCGAAGGUCGUCGGUUCAAAUCCGUACGC
rnacentral:tRNA from 1 species